CUACCUCCCCACUAUAUCUUCGCCAUUCAUUCUACCACCUACUUUGGCCGCGACCACCGCAGAAAAACCCACCAUCUCACUUUCUCUUGAUCCAGAAAACAAAAAACAUGUAACUCACCAAAACAUGUGUAGGGUUGAAGAGCAGAUGUUACUGUUAUCAUCAUAAUAUUACUUAUAACAUAUUUUUAUAUUGGACUGGUAUGGAUCUUGCUAUGUUGGGGAAAGGAGAGCUUAAAGACAGGGUGUUGAUUCACGUUUCUUGGGGUAUUCUAUCUAUUUUAUGUUUUCUGAGUCAGUUGUAUGGUUUUACCCAUAUUCCAUUUUCUGUCACAUAUUUGGUUGUUGGGGUAUAUGUGAUGGUGAAAGAAGGAUCAUUAGGUUUAUUUAUUGCUAUUACAGGGAGAUUAUAUACA